CCUACGGGUGGCAGCAGUGAGGAAUAUUGGUCAAUUGACGAGAGUCUGAACCAGCCAAGUAGCGUGAAGGAUGACUGCCCUAUGGGUUGUAAACUUCUUUUAUAUGGGAAUAAAAUGUUCCACGUGUGGGAUUUUGUAUGUACCAUAUGAAUAAGGAUCGGCUAACUCCGUGCCAGCAGCCGCGGUAAUACGGAGGAUCCGAGCGUUAUCCGGAUUUAUUGGGUUUAAAGGGAGCGUAGGUGGAUUGUUAAGUCAGUUGUGAAAGUUUGCGGCUAAACCGUAAAAUUGCAGUUGAAACUGGCAGUCUUGAGUACAGUAGAGGUGGGCGGAAGUCGUGGUGUAGCGGUGAAAUGCUUAGAUAUCACGAAGAACUCCGAUUGCGAAGGCAGUUCACUGGACUGCAUCUGACACUGAGGCUCGAAAGUGUGGGUAUCAAACAGGAUUAGAUACCCGGGUAGUC
rnacentral:rRNA from 1 species